rnacentral:rRNA from 1 species
AACGUGGGUGGCGAGCGUUAUCCGGAUUUACUGGGCGUAAAGCGUGUGCAGGCGGAGCCACAAGUGGUGUAUGAAAUCGCUCGGCUUAACCGGGCGGGGUUAUGCCAGACUGUGGUUCUAGAGUGCGAGAGAGGGGCGUGGAAUUCCGGGUGUAGUGGUGAAAUGCGUAGAGAUCCGGAGGAACCCCAGAGGCGAAGGCGGCGCCCUGGCUCGCAACUGACGCUCAGACACGACAGCAUGGGGAGCGAACGGG